rnacentral:rRNA from 1 species
UACGUAGGGUCCGAGCGUUUGUCCGGAAUCAUUGGGCGUAAAGAGCGUGUAGGCGGUCCGGUAAGUCCGCUGUGAAAGUCGGGGGGCUCAACCCUCGAAUGCCGGUGGAAACCGUCUGGCUAGAGUCCGGAAGAGGAGUGUGGAAUUCCUGGUGUAGCGGUGAAAUGCGCAGAUAGUCAGGAAGAACACCUAUGGCGAAGGCAGCACUCUGGGACGGUACUGACGCGAGACGCGAAAGCGUGGGGAGCAAACAGG